rnacentral:rRNA from 1 species
AAUCAACGCUGGCGGCGUGCCUAACACAUGCAAGUCGAACGCGAAAGCCCCGAAAGGGGCAAGUAGAGUGGCAAACGGGUGAGUAACGCGUGGGUGACCUGCCUUCGAGCGGGGGAUAACGUUCCGAAAGGGACGCUAAUACCGCAUAACAUCCUGCCUUUGAAGAGGUGGAGAUCAAAGCUGGGGAUCGCAAGACCCGGCACUUGAAGAGGGGCCCGCGUCUGAUUAGCUAGNGGUGAGGUAAUGGCUCACCAAGGCUUCGAUCAGUAUCCGGCCUGAGAGGGCGGACGGACACACUGGGACUGAGACACGGCCCAGACUCCUACGGGAGGCAGCAGUGGGGAAUUGUUCGCAAUGGGCGCAAGCCUGACGACGCAACGCCGCGUGGGGGGAAGAAGGCUUUCGGGUUGUAAACCCCUUUCAGGAAGGACGAAGCCACUCGGGUUAAUAGCCCCAGAGGGUGACGGUACUUCCAGAAGAAGCCCGGCUAACUACGUGCCAGCAGCCGCAGUAAC